GACAGAGGGUGCAAACGUUGUUCGGAAUUACUGGGCGUAAAGCGUGUGUAGGCGGUUUGGCAAGUCGGAUGUGAAAGCCCUGGGCUCAACCCAGGAAGUGCACUCGAUACUGCUGAACUUGAGUCUCGGAGAGGUUGGUGGAAUUCUCGGUGUAGAGGUGAAAUGCGCAGAUAUCAGGAGGAACACCAAUGGCGAAGGCAGCUCGCUGGGACGGUACUGACGCUGAGGCGCGAAAGCGUGGGGAGCAAACAGG
rnacentral:rRNA from 1 species